rnacentral:rRNA from 1 species
UACGUAGGGUGCAAGCGUUAAUCGGAAUUACUGGGCGUAAAGCGUGCGCAGGCGGUUCUAUAAGACAGAUGUGAAAUCCCCGGGCUCAACCUGGGAACUGCAUUUGUGACUGUAGAGCUGGAGUGCGGCAGAGGGGGAUGGAAUUCCACGUGUAGCAGUGAAAUGCGUAGAGAUGUGGAGGAACACCGAUGGCGAAGGCAGCCCCCUGGGCUAACACUGACGCUCAGGCACGAAAGCGUGGGGAGCAAACAGG